rnacentral:rRNA from 1 species
UGGGGAAUAUUGGACAAUGGGCGCAAGCCUGAUCCAGCCAUGCCGCGUGGGUGAAGAAGGCCUUCGGGUUGUAAAGCCCUUUUGUUGGGGAAGAAAUCGUGCAGGUGAAUAUCCUGCGCGGAUGACGGUACCCAAAGAAUAAGCACCGGCUAACUUCGUGCCAGCAGCCGCGGUAAUACGAAGGGUGCAAGCGUUACUCGGAAUUACUGGGCGUAAAGCGUGCGUAGGCGGUUCGUUAAGUCCGUUGUGAAAGCCCUGGGCUCAACCUGGGAAUUGCAGUGGAUACUGGCGAGCUAGAGUACGGUAGAGGAUGGUGGAAUUCCCGGUGUAGCGGUGAAAUGCGUAGAGAUCGGGAGGAACAUCUGUGGCGAAGGCGACUGCCUGGACCAGCACUGACACUGAGGCACGAAAGCGUGGGGAGCAAACA